AGCUCAGCACUGGGCGUAAAGUGUGCGCAGGCGGUUUUGUAAGACAGAGGUGAAAUCCCCGGGCUCAACCUGGGAACUGCCUUUGUGACUGCAAGGCUGGAGUGCGGCAGAGGGGGAUGGAAUUCCGCGUGUAGCAGUGAAAUGCGUAGAUAUGCGGAGGAACACCGAUGGCGAAGGCAAUCCCCUGGGCCUGCACUGACGCUCAUGCACGAAAGCGUGGGGAGCAAACA
rnacentral:rRNA from 1 species